GAUGAACGCUGGCGGCGUGCCUAAUACAUGCAAGUCGAGCGAACAGACGAGGAGCUUGCUCCUCUGACGUUAGCGGCGGACGGGUGAGUAACACGUGGAUAACCUACCUAUAAGACUGGGAUAACUUCGGGAAACCGGAGCUAAUACCGGAUAAUAUAUUGAACCGCAUGGUUCACUAGUGAAAGACGGUUUUGCUGUCACUUAUAGAUGGAUCCGCGCCGCAUUAGCUAGUUGGUAAGGUAACGGCUUACCAAGGCAACGAUGCGUAGCCGACCUGAGAGGGUGAUCGGCCACACUGGAACUGAGACACGGUCCAGACUCCUACGGGAGGCAGCAGUAGGGAAUCUUCCGCAAUGGGCGAAAGCCUGACGGAGCAACGCCGCGUGAGUGAUGAAGGUCUUCUGAUCGUAAAACUCUGUUAUUAGGGAAGAACAAAUGUGUAAGUAACUAUGCACGUCUUGACGGUACCUAAUCAGAAAGCCACGGCUAACUACGUG
rnacentral:rRNA from 1 species